rnacentral:rRNA from 1 species
UACGUAGGGUGCGAGCGUUAAUCGGAAUUACUGGGCGUAAAGCGUGCGCAGGCGGUUUUGUAAGCCAGAUGUGAAAUCCCCGGGCUUAACCUGGGAAUGGCAUUUGGGACUGCAAGGCUUGAGUGCGGCAGAGGAGACUGGAAUUCCUGGUGUAGCAGUGAAAUGCGUAGAUAUCAGGAGGAACACCGAUGGCGAAGGCAGGUCUCUGGGCAUUAACUGACGCUGAGGAGCGAAAGCAUGGGGAGCGAACAGGA